rnacentral:rRNA from 1 species
AGCGAACGCUGGCGGCAGGCUUAACACAUGCAAGUCGAGCGGGCGUAGCAAUACGUCAGCGGCAGACGGGUGAGUAACGCGUGGGAACGUACCUUUUGGUUCGGAACAACACAGGGAAACUUGUGCUAAUACCGGAUAAGCCCUUACGGGGAAGAUUAUCGCCAAAGAAUCGGCCCGCGUCUGAUUAGCUAGUUGGUGUGGUAACGGCGCACCAAGGCGACGAUCAGUAGCNGGUCUGAGAGGAUGAUCAGCCACAUUGGGACUGAGACACGGCCCAAACUCCUACGGGAGGCAGCAGUGGGGAAUAAUUGGACAAUGGGCGGCAAGCCUGAUCCAGCCAUGCCGCGUGAGUGAUGAAGGCCCUAGGGUUGUAAAGCUCUUUUGUG